UACGAAGGGGGCUAGCGUUGCUCGGAAUCACUGGGCGUAAAGCGCACGUAGGCGGAUUGUUAAGUCAGGGGUGAAAUCCUGGAGCUCAACUCCAGAACUGCCCUUGAUACUGCGGGUCUCGAGUCCGGGAGAGGUGAGUGGAAUUCCUAGUGUAGAGGUGAAAAUUCGUAGAUAUUAGGAAGAACACCAGUGGCGAAGGCGGCUCACUGGCCCGGUACUGGACGCUGA
rnacentral:rRNA from 1 species